rnacentral:lncRNA from 1 species
GCCGAGAUCACGCCACUGCACUCCAGCCUGGGUGACAGAGCAAGACUCUGCCUAAAAAAAAAAGAAAAAAAAAGAAUGGGUCAGACAAACAGGUAGGGGCACAGGACUGGCUUCCUUGGGCUAGCCCUUGAAAUUUAGGGUCCACAUAGAGGUUCAGAGGAUCAAGAUGAAGCUGCCCAGAGAUCAGAGUUCUCAGGCAGUCCAGCCCAACCUAAAUUUAUCCCCAAAGAUAUUUCUGCCGCCAAGUCCACUCACUCCGCUAGAAACAGUGCAAAGUUAGAGGGCUUGACACUGCUAAACACCUCUCAACGGCAGUUAUUGCCCUUUAAUCUCAGCACUAAAUCCAUGUCCUUCUUGAUGCUGUUUAUAGCACGUUUAACAAUUUGAUUAGUUUUAGAAAUCAACCCAGCUGAUGUUACAGUUAGCAGAAUUAAUCAGAGCUUCUAAGCAGCAUUCCACCAUGACUGAGGUGAUAAACAAAUCCCCCUGUCUUCUAAACCCCAAGCCCACUCCAUUUCUAAAUCCUUUUGUGGCUGUUUUCAACAUUCUGAUUGUACAGUUGUGACAGUGGAAUCAUAAAAAUGUCUCAAUGGAUACACACACA